AUCACCUUGAAGCCAGGCAGAGCCAUGUGACUUGCUUUUCUUAGUGGAACAUAACAGGAAGUCUCGUGUCCCUUCUAUGCAGAAGCUGUAGACACAGUGAAAGAGAAAGAAAGCUGGUCUACAGAUCUUUUUGGACUUGGAGCCAUUUAUCAGCCUUACAUGUGGAUGGCCCUUUCAUUUCAUGUAAAACUAAUGAAAAAGCACUUUGCAGUGUGUAAAAGACGUUGAGAAGUUCCAUAAUCUGCCAUCUGCAAGCUGGAGACCCAGGA
rnacentral:lncRNA from 13 species